rnacentral:rRNA from 1 species
AAUGAACGCUGGCGGCGUGCGUAACACAUGCAAGUCGAACGAGAAAGCGUCCUUCGGGGCAUGAGUAAAGUGGCGAACGGGUGAGUAACGCGUGGGUAACCUGCCCCUGAAUCUGGAAUAACUUCGCGAAAGCGAGGCUAAUACCGGAUAUUGUCCCAGGGACCGUGGUCCUUGUGAUGAAAGAUGACCUCUUCACGAAAGUUGUCGUUCAGGGAGGGGCCCGCGUACCAUUAGCUAGUUGGUAGGGUAAUGGCCUACCAAGGCGAUGAUGGUUAGCUGGUCUGAGAGGAUGACCAGCCACACUGGCACUGAAACACGGGCCAGACUCCUACGGGAGGCAGCAGUGAGGAAUUUUGCGCAAUAGGGGAAACCCUGACGCAGCAACGCCGCGUGAGCGAAGAAGGCCCUCGGGUCGUAAAGCUCUGUCAAGUGGGAAAAAAGCUUGUUGGUGAACAGCCAGCAAGACUGAUGGUACCAUUGAAGGAAGCACCGGCUAACUCCGUGCCAGCAGCCGCAGUAAGAC